rnacentral:rRNA from 1 species
GGAAGGUCCGGGCGUUAUCCGGAUUUAUUGGGUUUAAAGGGAGCGUAGGCCGGAGAUUAAGCGUGUUGUGAAAUGUAGAUGCUCAACAUCUGAACUGCAGCGCGAACUGGUUUCCUUGAGUACGCACAAAGUGGGCGGAAUUCGUGGUGUAGCGGUGAAAUGCUUAGAUAUCACGAAGAACUCCGAUUGCGAAGGCAGCUCACUGGAGCGCAACUGACGCUGAAGCUUGAAAGUGCGGGUAUCGAACAGAAUUAGAUACCCUGGUAGUCCACACGGUAAACGAUGAAUACUCGCUGUUGGUCUGAAUAGGUCAGCGGCCAAGCGAAAGCAUUAAGCAUCCCACCUGGGGAGU